rnacentral:rRNA from 1 species
AUUGAACGCUGGCGGCAAGCCUAACACAUGCAAGUCGAACGAGUGGCGGACGGGUGAGUAAUGUCUGGGAAACUGCCUGAUGGAGGGGGAUAACUACUGGAAACGGUAGCUAAUACCGCAUACCAUCGGAUGUGCCCAGAUGGGAUUAGCUAGUAGGUGGGGUAAAGGCUCACCUAGGCGACGAUCCCUAGCUGGUCGGAGAGGAUGACCAGCCACACUGGAACUGAGACACGGCCAAGACUCCUACGGGGGGAGGAAGUGGGGAAUAUUUCACAAGGGGCGCAAGCCUGAUGAAGCCAUGCCGCGGGUAUGAAGAAGGCCUUCGGGUUGUAAAGUACUUUCAGCGGGGAGGCGUUACCCGCAGAAGAAGCACCGGCUAACUCCGUGCCAGCAGCCGCGGUAAUAC